AGCGAACGCUGGCGGCAGGCCUAACACAUGCAAGUCGAACGAACUCUUCGGAGUUAGUGGCGAACGGGUGAGUAACACGUGGGAACGUGCCUUUAGGUUCGGAAUAACUCAGGGAAACUUGUGCUAAUACCGAAUGUGCCCUUCGGGGGAAAGAUUUAUCGCCUUUAGAGCGGCCCGCGUCUGAUUAGCUAGUUGGUGAGGUAAAGGCUCACCAAGGCGACGAUCAGUAGCUGGUCUGAGAGGAUGAUCAGCCACAUUGGGACUGAGACACGGCCCAAACUCCUACGGGAGGCAGCAGUGGGGAAUCUUGCGCAAUGGGCGAAAGCCUGACGCAGCCAUGCCGCGUGAAUGAUGAAGGUCUUAGGAUUGUAAAAUUCUUUCACCGGGGACGAUAAUGACGGUACCCGGAGAAGAAGCCCCGGCUAACUUCGUG
rnacentral:rRNA from 1 species